GACGUAGGGCGCGAGCGUUGUCCGGAUUUAUUGGGCGUAAAGAGCUCGUAGGCGGCUUGUCGCGUCGUCCGUGAAAACCCACAGCUCAACUGUGGGCUUGCGGUCGAUACGGGCAGGCUAGAGUUCGGUAGGGGAGACUGGAAUUCCUGGUGUAGCGGUGAAAUGCGCAGAUAUCAGGAGGAACACCGGUGGCGAAGGCGGGUCUCUGG
rnacentral:rRNA from 1 species